rnacentral:rRNA from 1 species
UACGUAGGGUGCAAGCGUUGUCCGGAAUUAUUGGGCGUAAAGAGCUCGUAGGCGGUUUGUUGCGUCGGCUGUGAAAUCCCGAGGCUCAACCCCGAGCCUGCAGUCGAUACGGGCAGACUAGAGUGCGGUAGGGGAGACUGGAAUUCCUGGUGUAGCGGUGAAAUGCGCAGAUAUCAGGAGGAACACCGGUGGCGAAGGCGGGUCUCUGGGCCGUAACUGGACGCUGAGGAGCGAAAGCGUGGGGAGCAAACAGG